rnacentral:misc_RNA from 1 species
AAGUCGUAACAAGGUUUCCGUAGGUGAACCUGCGGAAGGAUCAUUAAUGAAUAAACUUGGUUGAGUUGCUGCUGGUCCUUCGGGACAUGUGCACGCUCACCACUUUUAUAACCACCUGUGCACCUUUUGUAGACUGGAAACAUUUCUCGAGGAAACUCGGAUUGAGGACUGCUGUGCGUAAGCCGGCUGUUCUUGUGUUUCUCAGUCUAUGUUUUUUCAUAUACUCCAAAUGUAUGUAUCUGAAUGUAUUGCUAGGCCUUUGUGCCUUUAAAACAAAUACAACUUUCAACAACGGAUCUCUUGGCUCUC